UAUCAUCUCUGUGCAGCACGGUGUGAA
rnacentral:sRNA from 1 species